UACGUAGGGGGCUAGCGUUGUCCGGAAUCAUUGGGCGUAAAGAGCUCGUAGGCGGUGUGUCACGUCGGCCGUGAAAACCUGCAGCUUAACUGUGGGCGUGCGGUCGAUACGGGCAUCACUGGAGUUCGGCAGGGGAGACUGGAAUUCCUGGUGUAGCGGUGAAAUUCGUAGAUAUUGGGAAGAACACCGGUGGCGAAGGCGGCUAUCUGGACCGACAUUGACGCUGAGGCGCGAAAGCGUGGGGAGCAAACAGG
rnacentral:rRNA from 1 species